GACGUAGGGCGCGAGCGUUGUCCGGAUUUAUUGGGCGUAAAGAGCUCGUAGGCGGCUCGUUGCGUCGGCUGUGAAAACCCGCAGCUCAACUGUGGGCUUGCAGCCGAUACGGGCGGGCUGGGAUUCGGUAGGGGAGACUGGAAUUCCUGGUGUAGCGGUGAAUGCGCAGAUAUCAGGAGGAACACCGGUGGCGAAGGCGGGUCUCUGGGCCGAUAUCGACGCUGGAGGAGCGAAAGCGUGGGGAGCGAACAGG
rnacentral:rRNA from 1 species